rnacentral:rRNA from 1 species
UACAGAGGUCCCGAGCGUUGUUCGGAUUCAUUGGGCGUAAAGGGUGCGUAGGCGGCGGGGCAAGUUUGAUGUGAAAUCCCGGGGCUCAACCCUGGAAUUGCAUUGAAUACUGCCUUGCUAGAGUACUGGAGAGGAAACUGGAAUUUACGGUGUAGCAGUGAAAUGCGUAGAGAUCCGGAAGAACACCGGUGGCGAAGGCGGUUAGCUGGGCAGUAGCUGACACUGAGGCGCGACAGCGUGGGGAGCAACAGGAUAGAA